UACGGAGGAUCCGAGCGUUAUCCGGAUUUAUUGGGUUUAAAGGGUGCGCAGGCGGGAGAUUAAGUCGGCGGUGAAAUUUUGCAGCUCAACUGUAAAAGUGCCUUCGAAACUGGUUUCCUUGAGUGUAGAUGAAGUAGGCGGAAUUUGUGGUGUAGCGGUGAAAUGCAUAGAUAUCACGAGGAACUCCGAUUGCGCAGGCAGCUUACUAAACUACUACUGACGCUCAGGCACGAAGGCGUGGGAUCAAACAGGAUUAGAUACCCCGGUAGUCCCU
rnacentral:rRNA from 1 species